GUUGGUGGCUGCACAUGCAACUAUAUUUAUGGUAAGACUAUCAGCCAAUUGUAUCCCAUGGGAUUGUAAAUCGUACUCUAUUUUUUAUUCCUUAUUGUUUACCCUGCCAAACCACCAAUUAUACCCGAGGUAGCAAUAGGGAAUUUUUCGCAAUUGGCAAAAGCUUGACGGAGCAAUGCCGCAUGGAGGUAGAAGACCCAUGGUUCGUAAAUCUUUUUUUCUCAGAGAAAAAGCAAUUAUGGUAUCUGAGGAAUAAGCAUUGGCGAACUAUGUGCCAAUAGCCAUGAUAAGACAAAGGAUGCAAGC
rnacentral:ncRNA from 1 species